GACGAACGCUGGCGGCGUGCCUAAUACAUGCAAGUAGAACGCUGAAGGAGGAGCUUGCUUCUCUGGAUGAGUUGCGAACGGGUUAGUAACGCGUAGGUAACCUGCCUGGUAGCGGGGGAUAACUAUUGGAAACGAUAGCUAAUACCGCAUAAGAGUAGAUGUUGCAUGACAUUUGCUUAAAAGGUGCAAUUGCAUCACUACCAGAUGGACCUGCGUUGUAUUAGCUAGUUGGUGGGGUAACGGCUCACCAAGGCGACGAUACAUAGCCGACCUGAGAGGGUGAUCGGCCACACUGGGACUGAGACACGGCCCAGACUCCUACGGGAGGCAGCAGUAGGGAAUCUUCGGCAAUGGACGGAAGUCUGACCGAGCAACGCCGCGUGAGUGAAGAAGGUUUUCGGAUCGUAAAGCUCUGUUGUAAGAGAAGAACGAGUGUGAGAGUGGAAAGUUCACACUGUGACGGUAUCUUACCAGAAAGGGACGGCUAACUACGUG
rnacentral:rRNA from 1 species